GUACUUACACCAACUAAGUACAAAGGGGAACCAGUUGGGGUUGUAGUCAAUAGGGAUAUUGUCACCAGUCCCUACAACCCCAAAAAGGCCUGCUAUCGCCUGGUAUUCUACACCUCCAUAAAUGACAGAGGCAAGCGCAGUAGGAUCGACUUCGAUGAAGGGUUUGACAUCGACGACCCAGACCUACUGCGCACACCACCACACACAUCGCCCGUCCUCAACGCAUAUUCCAAAGAGGCAAUACAAACAGCCUUGCUAGCAGCACGACCUGAUACUCCGUAUCAGCAACACCAACGCAGUCGGAGUAAAAUGAAGGC
rnacentral:lncRNA from 1 species